AACUCUUAGCGGCAGAUUACUCAACUCGUCCGUUGAUGAAGAGUGCAGCCAGCUGUGAAAAUUAAUGUGAAUUGCAGGACACAUUGAUCAUCGACACUUCGAACGCACUUGCGGCCCCGGGUUCCUCCCGGGGCUACGCCUGUCUGAGCGUCG